rnacentral:lncRNA from 1 species
AUGGAGUCACAGACAGUUCAGAACUUAGUUAACAACUGGAGUUUCAGUAAAUACUUUGUUCUUUUCUUAAUACAAACAUUGGUCUGCAACUUACUUAGCAACUGGCUCAGCAGCCCCAUGACCAAUCUUAUAAAUACAGAAUUCCUUGUCUCUCUGAAAGGGCUCAUCUCAUGGAACUUAUGGCAAAAACUAAUCAACAUACUACUUUCCCUUGAGUUUUUGAUUAUUGUAAUUUUAAUAUUGUAUUUCCUUAAAGAACUCAAUUCUCAGUCAAACCAACCAAUUGCUUCCCCUACCCCCUUAGUCUCAGAAAACUCUAAUUCUAAUCAAUCAACUCUAAGUUCAUACCCCACCCAGGCUUCCAACACAACACAAUCAACUUUAAGUACACACCCUACCUCUGAAUUUUCUGGCACAAUGGGAUUACAACAAACCCCUCCUUUUAAUGUGCCCAACCCUUCUAUGUCUCAGACUUACCCAAUUGAAAAUGGAGCAAGAUGCCUAGAAACAGGAGUGCCAAAUAAUUCAGAUAGCUUAUUUCAUUUAAGGGAAGUACCCACUUUUAAUAAAAAUGGAAACUUAAUAUCUGUAAGGCAUCAUACACCUUUUACCCCUGAGGAUUUAAAAAAAUUGAAGGAAGAUAUGCCAUCAUUUGAGGAUGAACCAAUAUUAAUUAUAAAAAAAUUAGAGAAAAUAUUCAGAACUUUUGACCCCACUUGGUUGGAUGUUGAGAAUAUAUUAGAUGAAUUAUUAACAAAGAGAGAGAAAAAUAAUAUCGUCUCUCUGGCUAAUAAAAAACAAGGUAGAAGAGGACAUUAUUGGCCAACUGAAGAUCCACAUUGGAACCCCAAUGUUGAAUUAGAUUACACAAAAUUAAACCAGGCCAUAGAAGCAUUAUUGACAGCCAUGAGAGCUAGCUCUGAUAGACCUGAAAAAUGGUCAAAAUUUGAAAAAACCCAACAAUAUAUUGAUGAAACACCCUCCCAGUUUAUGGACAACUUAUUGACAUAG